rnacentral:rRNA from 1 species
AAUCAACGCUGGCGGCGUGCCUCAGACAUGCAAGUCGAACGCGAAAGGUUCCUUCGGGAACCGAGUAGAGUGGCGCACGGGUGAGUAACACGUAGGUAAUUUGCCUUUGGGUGGGGAAUAACAGCCGGAAACGGCUGCUAAUACCGCAUAAUGCAGCGGCUCGACAUCGAGACAGUUGUUAAAGCGGGGGAUCGCAAGACCUCGCGCCUAAAGAGAAGCCUGCGGCAGAUUAGCUAGUUGGUAGGGUAAUGGCCUACCAAGGCGACGAUCUGUAACCGGCCUGAGAGGGCGGUCGGUCACACUGACACUGACAUACGGGUCAGACUCCUACGGGAGGCAGCAGUCGGGAAUCUUGCGCAAUGGGCGAAAGCCUGACGCAGCGACGCCGCGUGAGGGAUGACGG